CACGUAGGGGGCGAGCGUUGUCCGGAUUUAUUGGGCGUAAAGAGCUCGUAGGCGGUUUCGUUAGUCGGGUGUGAAAACCCCAGGCUCAACCUGGGGACGCCACCCGAUACUGCGAUGACUAGAGUCCGGUAGGGGAGUGUGGAAUUCCUGGUGUAGCGGUGAAAUGCGUAGAUAUUGGGAAGAACACCGGUGGCGAAAGCGCUCUGCUGGACCUGCACUGACACUGAGGGACGAAAGCUAGGGGAGCGAAAGGG
rnacentral:rRNA from 1 species